rnacentral:misc_RNA from 1 species
GAAAUGCGAUAAGUAAUGUGAAUUGCAGAAUUCAGUGAAUCAUCGAAUCUUUGAACGCACCUUGCGCUCCUUGGUAUUCCGAGGAGCAUGCCUGUUUGAGUGUCAUGGAAUUCUCAACUCUAUUUGCUUUUGUGAAUAGAGCUUGGAUUUGGAGGUUUAUUGCUGGUACCUGUGAUCGGCUCCUCUUGAAUGCAUUAGCUCGAACCUUUGCGGAUCAGCUAUCGGUGUGAUAAUUGUCUACGCCGUUGCAGUGAAGCAUAUCAAUGGGCUCGGCUUCCAAUCGUCCUUUACUGGACAAUGACUUUGACCUUUGACCUCAAAUCAGGUAGGAUUACCCGCUGAACUUAAGC